ACGAGUUUUACAGCGUGAGUUGUCGUGAACAUACAGAAACGGGCAACAUAAAAUCCCUCCUGGGAAGCUGUGGUAAAUCGCUUCACCUGGAAGGGGCAUGUAAAUCCCCGGUGACUGCAAUGUUGCCCUGAAAUCCUUGAGCGUGUGGAGAGAGGAGUCCAUACACUCACUGAAGAGCUUGGAUCCAUCAAGCACCUCUAUUGGCACACCAGAGGACUUGAGCCAGGACACGCUCAUGAUCACAACUGCGGCCAUGUAUCUGGAGGCCAUGUGUUGAUGGCAUCUAGGGCAGCUUGGAGGGAGCUUUUUGAGAUUAACUGCCCAUCCAAGAUGGACUGACAUUGCUCUCUUUGGACUUGUGGGAGGUAGUAAAUAAAAUGUGUAAAUUUUGA